AUUGAACGCUGGCGGCAGGCCUAACACAUGCAAGUCGAGCGGUAGAGAGGUGCUUGCAUCUCUUGAGAGCGGCGGACGGGUGAGUAAUGCCUAGGAAUCUGCCUAGUGGUGGGGGAUAACGUUCGGAAACGGACGCUAAUACCGCAUACGUCCUACGGGAGAAAGCGGGGGAUCUUCGGACCUCGCGCCAUUAGAUGAGCCUAGGUCGGAUUAGCUAGUUGGUGAGGUAAUGGCUCACCAAGGCGACGAUCCGUAACUGGUCUGAGAGGAUGGUCAGUCACACUGGAACUGAGACACGGUCCAGACUCCUACGGGAGGCAGCAGUGGGGAAUAUUGGACAAUGGGCGAAAGCCUGAUCCAGCAAUGCCGCGUGAGUGAUGAAGGCCUUAGGGUUGUAAAGCUCUUUUACCCGGGAUGAUAAUGACAGUACCGGGAGGAAUAAGCUCCGGCUAACUCCGUGCCAGCAGCCGCGGUAAUGUAGUCGUGU
rnacentral:rRNA from 1 species